GAUGAACGCUAGCGGGAGGCCUAACACAUGCAAGCCGAGCGGUAUGAUCCUUUCGGGGAUCGGAGAUCGGCGCACGGGUGCGUAACGCGUAUGUAACUUACCCCAUUUACUGGGUUAGCCCUUCGAAAGGAGGAUUAAUACCGGAUAACACUAAUGUGGGCAUCCACUUUGGUGGAAAGAUUUAUCGGAAUGGGAUAGACAUGCGUCAGAUUAGCUAGUUGGAGAGGUAACGGCUCACCAAGGCGAUGAUCUGUAGGUGGCCUGAGGGGGUGACCCCCCACACUGGUACUGAGACACGGACCAGACUCCUACGGGAGGCAGCAGUGAGGAAUAUUGGACAAGGGGUGAGAGCCUGAUCCAGCCAUCCCGCGUGCAGGAAGACGGCCCUAUGGGUUGUAAACUGCUUUUGUAUGGGAAUAAACCACCUUACGCGUAGGGUGUUGAAGGUACCAUACGAAUAAGCACCGGCUAACUCCGUG
rnacentral:rRNA from 1 species